UCGUGCAAAGGUAGCAUAAUCAUUAGUCUUUUAAUUGAAGACUGGAAUGAAAGAGUAAACCGGGAGAAUUUUUUUUAAAUUAAGAAAAUGAAUUUUACUUUUUAGUAAGAAGGCUAAAAUUUUUCUUUUAGACAAGAAGACCCUAUAAAACUUUAUAUUUUUCUCUCUUUUUGAGCUUAAAAGUAUUUCACUGGGGCGGUGAGGAAAAGAGCUUUCCUAAAUUUUUAAAACUGUCAAGUUAAAAUACCUAAAAAUUUUAAAGUUGAAAUAAGUUACUUUAGGGAUAACAGCUUAAUUUACUUUUAAAGAUCAAAUUGACAAGUAAGUUUAUGACCUCGAUGUUGAAUUAAAAUACCUUUCUUGUGCAAAAGUUUGAGAAGGAGGUCUUUUCAAAAUAAU
rnacentral:rRNA from 1 species